CUUUUAGUCCAUGGUUUUCUACACAGUUAUAGGCGUCUAGAAUGCACGGCAAUACACGUGAUGUUUUUUCUAAUUAGCUAUUGUUGCCCGCAACUUCUCCUUUUAGGGGUAAAGAAAAACCGCCUCACUGAAUUCUUAUCACCGCCUCUCAUCUCCUGCUAAAGAAUAUCAGAUCUACUCUUCUCUCAUUGGAAAGCUUUUACAGAUAGCUUCCUCAUUUGUCUUCUGUUGGGCUUGUAUUCCUCUGUUGCGCCUCUUCCAUUGUUCUUAAUUUCAUUCUAUGAACUUGGAGAUCUUGUUCGGCAUGCCCAUGGUUAUUUAUCAUCUUCUACUUUGUCGUUCUUGUGAAGGUUGUAAUUGAGGAAAUUCGAGCCUUGGAAUGGGACUUUUAGAUGGGCUCCCUGUCCCUUCUGACAAAGUUGCAAGUAUACAAUGAUUUAAUUUUCGGACGCGGUGGCGAAGAGAUGGAUUUCCUACAGCAGAAGGGGAUUCAAGUUAAAGUUGUACCAGCCAUUACAUUGUUCCUGGGCACAAAAUGAACUCGCCUUGAAUUUCCCACAAGGUUGUGAAUGAAAAUAUUACAAAGAUAUUAAGGUUGUAUGUUCUCAUUAAUGAACAUUUUGGUAGUCGAUGAUAAUGGUGUUACCCGUAAAGUAGCGGAAGGAGCUCUAAAGAAAUAUGGGGCUACUGUGACCUGUGUGGACAGUGGGGAGGUUGACGUGUCGAAGCUUACGCCAUAAUAAAAUGCAGAUGGGGGUGAAGAAUUUGCUGUUGAAAAUUAAUUAAUUACUUGCAGGGUGAAGUUAUUAGAUUUGUGUUAAAGAUGAAUGACCGUGUGAUUCAAGUCUUGAUUAUCCAGGCUGCCUAUGGCUCCAUAAUACAGAGAAGUUCUGGUAUAGAGAUUAUUCAAGUAGGUCCAAAUCCGCAAAUAAUGAGAAACUGCAUAAAUUCUUGAAAACGAGAGAAGCUUUAAUUAAUUUAAAUUUUUAGAGGAAGUAUGCCUUGAUAGUAUACAAUAUUAUAAUGGUAUUGUAACUAUUUCAAUUUUGAAAAAAAAUCCUUGUAAGACUCGAUCAAGCCUUAUUUUGUACUCUAUAUCAUCAAUAAUGAACAGAAUUCAACAUUUA